rnacentral:rRNA from 1 species
UAGCAGGUUCCGCGCGAGACUACUCGUAGGUAGAUCUCUGUGGAGGUAGAAUGCGAUGUAGAGCACUGAUUGUAUGUUUAGGGGGAGCAAUCCCUCGGCACGCUGUCAAACUCCGAAUUUGUGUUCGCCGUAGAAGCAGGGAGUGAGCCACGGUGGGUAAGCUACCGUGACGAAAGGUGAAUAAACCAGCUCAGCGUUAAGGUCCCAAAAUUUCAGUUAAGUGUUAAUCACAAACGGCGUCCGUGGCCGAAGACAACCAGAAGGUGGGCUUAGAAGCAGCCAUCCUUGAAAGAGUUCGUAACAGAUCACUGGUCAAGUUUGCGGGCCCGAAAAAUGGACGGGGCUCAAACUGAAUACCGAUACGCUGACCCUUCGAAAGAAGAUGGGGUAGCGCGGCGAUGUGCUCGGGUAGAAGCGAGGUCGUAAGGUCUCGUGGACCGUGUACAUAUGAGAAUCCAGGAAAGAGUAGCAGCAUAGUGUGGUGAGAAUCCGCACCACCGAAGGGGUAAGGGUUCCUCGGCAAUGUUUUUCAGCCGAGGGUUAGUCGGUCCUAAGGGCAUUCUUAACCGAAAUGUCCGAAUGGGAAAUGCGUUAAUAUUCGUAUACCCCUCUACAAUAAAUGGUGACGGCUCGGGCUAGUUCGUGCAUUCCUGUCAUGGGAUGUCGAAGCGUUCGAUAACCGAUCGGAGAACCGUCAUGGUGAGAAGAUCGAGAAGGCGUGAGCAAAAGACGAAUGAUGCCUGGGUCCCAUGAAANACCGUAGAGGUGACCGUACCUAGAACUGACACAGGUACCCAAGGUGAGUAGCCUAAGGUGUGACGGGCAAAGUACCGCGAAGGAACUCGGCAAAAUCGCUCUGUAACUUCGGGAGAAGGAGUGCCAGCUUAGAGAUAAGCUGGUCGCAGUGACCAGGGGACUCCGACUGUUUAAUAAAAACAUAGGCGACUGCUAGAUCGAAAGGUUGUGUAUAGUCGCUGAAUCCUGCUCAGUGCUGGUAUCUGAAAUCGGGUUACAACCUGACGAAGGACCAGUAAACAGCGGGGGUAACUAUGACCCUCUUAAGGUAGCGUAAUACCUUGUCGCUUAAUUGGCGACUUGCAUGAAUGGCACAACGAGAGUCCCACUGUCUCCGCGGUACGUCCGGCGAAAUUGACUAUUACUGGCGCACAGUCCAGUAACCUCAACCUGCAAGCGAAGACCCCAUAGAGCUUUACUGCAGCCUGGCGUUGUACAGUCGCACAUUACGUGCUGAGUAGACGGGAGACGUUGAUCCUCGGAACGCUAGUUUCGAGAGUAGUCGUACAUAGAGACACCGUCCUUAAUUUGUAACUAUACUAACUCUUAAUGAGAACACCGUUUGGUGGGCAGUUUGGGUGGGGCGCCACGCGCUCGAAAAUAUAACAAGCGUGCCCAAAGGUCAGCUUAGGUGGUUCAGUCUCCACCGUUAACCGUAAGGGGAAAAGCUGGCUUGACGUGGAUCGGACCAAUAACGAUCGACGAUGCGAAAGCAGGGCCUAACGAACCAAUCUACCUCAUUUCUGGGGGUGAUUGAUAACAGAAAAGUUACCUUUGGGGAUAAUUGAGUUGUCACCAGCAAGAGCACAUAGUCGACCUGGUGGCCUUGCUACUUCGAUGUCGUCUCUUCCCAACCUCCUGGUGCAGCAGCUGGGAAGGUGGGGUUGUUCGCCCAUUAAAGGGGAUCGUGAGAUGGGUUUAGACCGUCGUGAGACAGGUUUGUUGCUUUGUGGUUGAGGCGUAUAAGAUACCUGAUCGGAAGGGUCCUUUAGUACGAGAGGAACGAGGACUCGGAGCCACUAGUUUACCAGUUGUCCGGCAGGGCAAUGCUGGGUAGCCACGCUCCAGUGGAUAAGAGCUGAAAGCAUCUAAGCUCGAAGUCAUCCGAAAGACGAGGUAUCUCAGGGGACUCGUAGAAGACGAGUUUGAUAGACAGCGGG